rnacentral:rRNA from 1 species
UACGUAGGUGGCAAGCGUUGUCCGGAUUUACUGGGCGUAAAGAGCGCGCAGGCGGUCGAUCAAGUCGGGUGUGAAAGCCCCCGGCUCAACUGGGGAGGGGCAUUCGAUACUGAUCGACUCGAAGGCAGGAGAGGGUAGUGGAAUUCCCGGUGUAGUGGUGAAAUGCGUAGAUAUCGGGAGGAACACCAGUGGCGAAGGCGACUACCUGGCCUGUUCUUGACGCUGAGGCGCGAAAGCUAGGGGAGCAAACGGG